rnacentral:lncRNA from 1 species
AGCCGAUUUGGAGCUUGCACUAGAGUUAAGCAGAUCUCCUAGGUCCUCUGUGUUGUUCAACGCAGAAGCCUGAGGUUCAGAUUUUGCGUCAAUACCUACCUAAUCUGGCGAUGCUCCUCCUCACCCUCACCACCGACCACUACCCACCGGAUGGCCAACCCUGCCCGGCCGGCAGCACUCCCACACCGCCUCGCCUCCGCCGACGGCCAACCCACGACCUCCGUCCCCGCCGGCCUUCCUUUCUAAGGCUGGUGGGCAUUGGAGCCCCCCCUCCCC